rnacentral:rRNA from 1 species
UAGUGAAGCAAUUUGUCUGCUUAAUUGCGAACGGGAUCCGGUCUCACUUAUAAUAGUGGGUAGCAUUAGUUUUUCACUGAUCUUUUUGUUGCUUUUGUGACACUGUUCGCGGUUAACCUAUGCAAGUCCGCACCUUAGAGGCACACUGUUCAAUAUAAUAGCAUAUAGAAGUUGGAAUAUAACA